rfam:Stegodyphus mimosarum contig54790, whole genome shotgun sequence.
GCCUUUGUGGUGUAGUGGUCAGCACGCUAGACGCGUAUUCUAGAGGUCCAUGGUUCGAGUCCCGUCGAAAGCA